GGGGCUGUCCUGGUUUCGACGUGGGUUCGGGACCGGUGCGGUGCAUGUCGAGCUUGAGUGAUGCUCGUAAAUCUCCAUUCAAAAAACUAACUGCAAACGACGAACGUUUCGCACUCGCCGCUUAAUCCGGUGAGCCUUGCAACAGCACGCUAGUGGGCUGGGCAAGGGGGUAGCAAUACCUCCCGGCUGCAAGGGAAUUUACAUUAGCUGGCUGGAUACCGGGCUUCUUGGUAUUCGGCGAGAUUUAAGGAAGCUGGCUACCCAGACAGCGUGUGCCUGCGGGGUUUGGGUGGCGAGAUUCAAAACAGAGCACUAAACAUGUAGAUCUGUCCGGCGAAGGCUUACGGACGCGGGUUCAAUUCCCGCCAGCUCCAC
rnacentral:tmRNA from 15 species